AGACAACGUGCAGGGAAGGGAACAAGCAGGAGGGCAAAAAGAAAGAACCACGGCGACAGCACCUUAGGCUGAACACCAAAAUGCAGAAUCAAGUCCGGGAUACCUGAACAGGAAAUCGCAGGUGAUGUGAACCACGGCGAGGAUUGCUGUACAGUUUGGACACGCUGAUGUUGAAGCAAGUUCGCGAUCUCAGUAUAAGACACUGAAGGUAACAUGAACGGAAAAGUAUAACAUCCUACAUAAGGUAAUGGUACUGUACUAUAUGUUGGCCAAUAUGUUGGUCUGCUGGGACAGAAAACUUCC